rnacentral:lncRNA from 1 species
GAGAGUGGCGGCAAGGCCUAAAGACGCGACAACUGCUUCGAUGCCGAUCGUUUUUAUGUCAUCACGGGGUUGGACUUAAACGAGUCCCGGAUGAAUAAUUAGGGCGGCGAUCGCCGAUAAGAGCAUAAUGACACUAGUCUAUCAAGUUGGUUAGUGCAUAGGUUUAUAUAAGUACCUUCGCUUAUGGGACAGCUAAGGCAGUCUAGAAGUCGCUCUUGCAAGUUGGGGCGGUCCAUGAACUUUGCAAGAUCUUGCUAUAAGAUUCAUAGCACCAUUAUUGUCACGUGCUUGGUUGACGAUGUUCCCAGACAGCCAAAUCAGCUGUGAAGUUAAGUAAGCAGCCCAAAGUUAAUGAAAAAAAAACUGUG